rnacentral:rRNA from 2 species
GAGUUUGAUCCUGGCUCAGGAUGAACGCUUGCUGUGUGCCUAAUACAUGCAUGUUGAACGGGGUCUUUAUGACCUAGUAGCGAAUGGGUGAGUAACACGUACCUAACCUACCUUUUAGAUUGGGAUAACUAUUGGAAACAAUAGCUAAUACCGAAUACGUAUUAAGAUUGCAUGAUUUUUUUAUAAAAGGGGCGUUUGCCUCGCUAAAAGAUGGGGGUGCGGCAUAUUAGCUAGUUGGUAGGGUAAAGGCCUACCAAGGCAAUGAUAUGUAGCCGGACUGAGAAGUUGAUCGGCCACACUGGGACUGAGAUACGGCCCAGACUCCUACGGGAGGCAGCA